AAAAAAAAAAAAAAAAAACACAAAUAAUUCGUUAUUAGCGUAUACUCAGCACCAUUAUUUUUAGAAGUGUUGCUUGAUUUUAGCCUGAACCAUUAGUCAAGCUCCUGCUUUGGAUUUAUGUUUCCUGUAACGAGAAAUUUCACCUUCAACACGCUUGAUUUCAUCAUUCAGCUCUUGCAAUGUAGCUUUUCCCGAGACUUCUAUCUCUUUGACCUCACCAUUACUAAUCAAGCUUGAAAGACGCUUCAAGCAUGAUAGAUACUCAACCUUUACUUCAGGGGAAUCAGAAAUUAACCUGUCAGAUUCAAACUCUUUGUAAGCAGAAAUGCAUUGGAAAAAUGCACUUUUAGUCCCAAACGAAGGUGGAUCAGGAUGCUCUUCCAUUGAUUCCUGUAGCUCUUGUUUUGUGAUCUCCAAAAGCCCAAGAGUAUCAAGUGAUUGCAACAGUAUGAUCAAUGCUGCACGCCCCUCCCUUCUGGUUUCUUCAGGUGCCCUACUCUUU
rnacentral:misc_RNA from 1 species